CCUACGGGAGGCAGCAGUCGAGAAUUAUUCACAAUGGGGGCAACCCUGAUGCUGCGACGCCGCGUGGAGGAAUGAAGGUCUUCGGAUUGUAAACCCCUGUCAUGUGGGAGCAAAUUAAAAAGAUAGUACCACAAGAGGAAGAGACGGCUAACUCUGUGUCAGCAGCCGCGGUAAUACAGAGGUCUCAAGCGUUAUCCGUAUUCACUGGGCGUAAAGCGUGCGUAGGCUGUUUCGUAAGUCGUGUGUGAAAGGCCGGGGCUCAACCCGGGGACUGCAUAUGAUACUGGUAGGCUAGAGUGUUGUUGCGGUAGGCGGAAUGUCAGGUGUAGCGGUG
rnacentral:rRNA from 1 species